rnacentral:rRNA from 1 species
UACGAAGGGGGCUAGCGUUGUUCGGAAUUACUGGGCGUAAAGGGCGCGUAGGCGGCUCUGUGCGUCGUGCGUGAAAGGCCUGGGCUCAACCCAGGAAUGGCGCUCGAUACGACGGAGCUAGAGUGCAGGAGAGGAUGGUGGAAUUCCCAGUGUAGAGGUGAAAUUCGUAGAUAUUGGGAAGAACACCGGUGGCGAAGGCGGCCAUCUGGACUGCAACUGACGCUGAGGCGCGAAAGCGUGGGGAGCAAACAGG